AUUGAACGCUGGCGGCAUGCCUUACACAUGCAAGUCGAACGGUAACGGGCCUUCGGGUGCCGACGAGUGGCGAACGGGUGAGUAAUACAUCGGAACGUGCCCGAUCGUGGGGGAUAACGAGGCGAAAGCUUUGCUAAUACCGCAUACGAUCUACGGAUGAAAGCAGGGGACCGCAAGGCCUUGCGCGGACGGAGCGGCCGAUGGCAGAUUAGGUAAUUGGUGGGAUAAAAGCUUACCAAGCCGACGAUCUGUAGCUGGUCUGAGAGGAUGAUCAGCCACACUGGGACUGAGACACGGCCCAGACUCCUACGGGAGGCAGCAGUGGGGAAUUUUGGACAAUGGGCGCAAGCCUGAUCCAGCCAUGCCGCGUGCAGGAUGAAGGCCUUCGGGUUGUAAACUGCUUUUGUACGGAACGAAAAGCCUUCUUUUAAUACAGGAGGGUCAUGACGGUACCGUAAGAAUAAGCACCGGCUAACUACGUG
rnacentral:rRNA from 1 species